rnacentral:rRNA from 1 species
AUUGAACGCUGGCGGCGUGCUUAACACAUGCAAGUCGAUCGGUAACGCGGGGGCAACCCUGGCGACGAGAGGCGGACGGGUGAGGAACGCUUGGGAAUCUGCCCUUCAGCGGGGGACAACACGGGGAAACUCGUGCUAAUACCGCAUACGCUCCACGGAGGAAAGCCGGGGACCGCAAGGCCUGGAACUGAAGGAUGAGCCCAAGUCGGAUUAGCUAGUUGGCGGGGUAACGGCCCACCAAGGCGACGAUCCGUAGCUGGUCUGAGAGGACGAUCAGCCCCACUGGGACUGAGACACGGCCCAGAUUCCUACGGGAGGCAGCAGUGGGGAAUAUUGGACAGUGGGUGAAACCCUGAUCCAGCGACGCCGCGUGGGUGAAGAAGGCCUGCGGGUUGUAAAGCCCUUUCGGUAGGGACGAAAGCUCUCGACCUAACACGUCGGGAGGUUGACUUAACCUACAAAAGAAGCACCGGCUAACUCUGUGCCAGCAGCCGCCGUAAAAC